ACAUACGACCAUAGCCGCUAGCAAAGCUUAGGAUCCCGUCUGAUCUCCCUGAAUAACCUAGCGAGCGCUGGAUUAGUAGUUGGGUCGGUGACGACCAGCGAAUACCCAGUGUUGUAUGUA
rfam:Metarhizium majus ARSEF 297 Scaffold_37, whole genome shotgun sequence.